UCCUGUCUCUGGCCCCAGGUAGUAAAGGCAUUACACAGUCCCACUCUGGAAAGGAAAGCCCCCCACCCCCUACCCUGUCGCCAAGCUGGGUCACCUAGGACUGCGCUUUCUCUGGGGGGUAGUGGGGAGAGGGCGGGCGAGGGGGGUGGACAGAGGCCGAGGGAGGAGGGGAGUUUUACAGAAAGAAUUCAGGCCAGUGUAGAGAGACAGGCUGGGGCAUGUGUCAGAGUCAAGAUACCAGGACAGAACGUUGACUUCUCUCUUUUAUCCAAAAUACUUCUGCAGUUGUUUUUUUUUUUAAAGUAUACGUGUAAGGACUUUAUUCUGAAUUUUUAGAAUGACAUCUAGUAAAUGUACAGGAGAGAACACAAGUUGGAUCUAGCUUCCUAGAUUUUCACAAAGUAAAUAGCUCUCGGGUCAAGAAACCGAAUGCAGCCAGCUCCUCCCAGAAACCUUCCUCUUCCUCUCACUUAGUCCCUCCCCGACAAGGGGGCCGCUGUCUUGACUUCCAAGUCUGUAGAUUCAUCUCGCCUCUCUUUGAACUUUAUAUAAAUGGAAUCACAUGGUGCGUUUUCUCGUGCCUGGCUGCUUUUGCUCCUGUCUGUGAGAUUUACCCACAAUUGCUGCAAGUAAUUGUAGGUUGCUCCUUCUCAUUGCUGUGUAGUAUUUUAUUGUGUGAAUCUACAACAAGCUACUUAUGCAUUCUGCUGUUGACGGUCAUUUGGGUAGUUUCCAGUGGUGUCAUUAGGGACAUUUCUUUGUACAUGUCUUUUGCUAAGUUUUUUUUUUUUUUUUCCCUCUGCAUUUCUCUUGGCUAGGAGUGGAAAUGCGCCUAUCCAUUUUGAUGCACGUUUAGUGGACGUGUCUGGAAAUGAUGCUUACUAAGGGUUGCAGGUUCCUCCCUGUCUCGUGGAGGGAGGAGUGAGUGAAUGUUUCAUGAACUUGGCUGUGUGUUCAUAGGGCGGCCUGAGAGCGUUAGUUCCAAUUGCAAGUCCUGGCAUGGCGCACUGGCGGAGGGUGCAACUUUGCCUUCCCUACACUCAUGGGAAAUUUGCCACUGUGAUUCCUUGGCCUUCCAUCCCCCAAUGGGUCAGGCUCGAAGCCAGCAGUGAGAAUUAAGUGUUCUCAAUUAUUUCAUUUCCCCCUCCUCUUCCUAAGUAAGAAAACCCCACAGGAAAGUCUUUGACAGUUCAGAUUUACAUGGCUGCCCUUUUCUCACGCCAGGCAGCCAUGCGUCUUGACCGAGAGCCUUGGUUGCAUGUUUUCAUGGCUUGCAAGUCUGAUCUGAACAUGGCCGUGAUGGUCUCUGGUGGCUUCCGGAGAGCUCAGACCUGUCAGCUCGCCCUCCUCGAGGUGGCAGGUCUCCCACCGAACACGACAGAGAAACCUGGACCGUUGCAAGAGCCAUGGAUGGAGGUCUGUGUUUUGUCACGCUUAAGUCUCCUGAUCCGCACCCGGGAUUCCGGCUUUCCAUCCCGGUAUGCAGGAAUCUCAACAAGACACCUGAAGUCGCAUUGACACCGGACGCUGGCUGGUUGGCAUGCCUCCAGGUUUUUCUUUUGGGUGCAGUUCUUCAUCCGCCAUUCCAAAAUCCAAAAAGCUCCAAAAACCAACAAUAUGAGCUCAUUUAGAGGUGAAACCUAACCUGCACUGACUUGUGUGUGUAGUCUUAAGGUACAGUUUGAACUGAUCCCACGUGGUGCAUGUUUUGGUAUGUUCCGCACGCAAAAAACGUUAGAUACUCUUGAUUGUGGCGUGCUCAGACUUUCAAGCGAGCCGGGAUUGUCUCCUUAAAAUGACGAUUCUGCUCCAGCAGGUUUGGGCCGGGGGCUGGGCUUCUGUCUUUCCAACUAGCUUCCCUGUGCUUCUCGUCCACGGGCUGUGCUCGGAGUAUCCAGGUUCUGUCGUAGAGGCAUCCUGUGACCUUUUUUCUUGUUCUUAAAAAUAGGGUUUAUCGAGGUAUACUAUAUGGGUAGCAAAAUGCGCCCUUUUUAUAUGCUGUUCUGUGCGUUUUGGCAGAUGCAGGCAGGUGUGCAGCCGCCACCUGAAUCAAGACAGGGAGCAGUUCUGUCAAGCCCAGAACAUCCGCGUGGCGCCCUUCUGAGUCAGCACCCCCCGUUUCUCCAGUCCCUUGUACCCACUGGUCUGUUCUCUGUCCCUGUAGCUUUGCCUUUUGCAAAAGGUCAUAUAAAUAGAAUCACGCAGUAUGUAGCCUUUUGAGUCUGACUUCUGUCACUCGGGCUUUGAGAGUCAUUGGCGUCGUUGCGUGUGUCCCUAGUUUGUUCCUUUUGGGCGCUGAGUGGUGUUUCGUGGUGUGCGUGGACCGGUGUUAAUUCACCCAUUUUUCCCAGCCGCCAAGCCGCUGGGAUGUUUUGGGUCUGGGUGAUUGUGAACAGAGCCGCUCCCAGCACACGGGUGGGUGGGUUUGAGUGGGAACAUCGAGGACAUGACAUUUCCUUUCUCUUGGGUAAAUAAAUACCCAAGGGUGGCAUUGCCGAGUUGUGCAGCAGGGGUAUGUUUAAUUUUAUAAUUAAAAUGAUAAAAGUUUUCCAAAGUGGUUGCACCAUUUUAUGUCCCCAUCUCUGUUAUCCUUCUGAAAGCCCCAAGUUCUAAACUGCAGAGCACACCGGCUUUGAGGGUUCAGGGGUAGGGGUGUGGACUUGCAGAAAGUGACGGGAGUGGUUGUGUUAAAUGCCAGUCAGAGAAAUGGGAAUGAUCGCGGACCCUGUUGGAAGCCAUGUGUCUGCCCUGGCGAGAGAGAAGGGGGUCUCUGGGGUGGGGCGCCUGGGUCCUGCCCCUCGCCAGUAAGAAAAUCAAGCCCCGAGGCCAGGGGGCCCAUGCCAUGCUCCUGUUCUUUGCCACUGCAACUCCACUGGGCCGCACAAGGCAGGCACCCCAUGCGCGUUUGUUGAAUGAAUUACAAAAAACGUCUGUCUUCGCCUGUUAGCUAAGUCAUAUAACGUCUCAUCUGCCCCUUGUGCCAAUGUUGUAGGUGUUUGGGGGGUUUUAGGUGAACGAGGUUGGGAGGAUGUUCGUGAGGUUAUCGGACCAAUGCCGAUUUCUGAGAGGUUGGCCCUUGAGCAGAUGGGGCAGCGCUUUGAGAAGGAAGCCUUGCUGCAGGGGGUGGGGGGCUUCUAUUGCAUGCUCGGGGCGUGUGUCCUCCCUCGCUGUUGCCCCCCCGGAGUGAGCACACAUAUGCACUUCUUCAAUAACAGAAGGCACCCCCGGGAAGGUGGAUCAAAUCCAGAGAUAGCCCGAGCCUAAGAGCCCGGCUGGUAACGCAUUUCUGAGAAUGCCAACUCAGCUCUUGGGAAAGGGGCCGGAUGGCGCCUGCCCGGAAAGAGGGCGGAGGGCAGAGGAAAAGUGCCCCAGACUCUGUGUCACACAGGCCAGGGUUCGAGUCCUUGGCCAGCCACGCCAUCCUGCCCACUGGAGCCGUUUCCUCACAUGCAUAUGGAGAUACUGCCUCUGACAGUCACUCCCUUGGAGAGCUUUCAGGGCUUGAAAUGGAGUCAUGCAUGGAGAACAGUCAGCACAGAGAAAACCCCAAAAUACAAAAGCCACAAUGCCGGGAAGUCACACUGUGUCUCCCGUCCAGGUACCAGCCAGGCCCGACCCUGCUUAGCUUGUGAGAUCGGACGGGGUGGGGUGGCCACAGACGUGUUCCUGCUGCUCUGUUUUCUUUCUUUCCUCGGAGGGGGCAACUUUGGCUAGAAACGGGGCUCCCUGGGUAGGAGCGGGAGCGGCGGGCCCCUGUGCGACUGGCCGGUGUGGGUUUCUUAACCUGAGUGUGGGAGUCUUUAAAGCAACCCUCGGACGAUUUUUGCAUUCUCUGUUCUCUCUGGAAGCUUUCAGGGGGAAAAAAAAAAAAAUCAUGCCCACUUGACCUAUUUUUCUAUUCCCUUCGGUCUAAGAUAAAAUUAAUUCUCUUCCUCCCCACCCCUUUGGUCCCUCCCUUAGUGGGUGACAAGGAGAGGGAGUUUCAGAGUAUGUAAUUAGUUUUCCUGCUACCACGCCCUGCCCCCUUUUCCAGAGUAGGCCAGAGUCCCGCCCAACGUGGGGACCACAGACUCGGGAGCCCUUCUUUGCCUGCCCAAGUGUCUGCUGCGAGCUCAACAGAACUGAGCUUUUGGGUUAGAACUCAGGUCCCCUCCUCCUGCCCCAUCCUGCCCCCUGAACCCCCCAUCUUCCUUCUCCCUCGCUCCCUGGGAGAACGGAGAAGGCAAAGAACACUCCCGCAGAGGGACCAGGCAGGUGUGCGUGGCAGCUUGGGUUUUAAAAACCCACUGGGCAUUCAUUAUUACCUCUUGUCUGGGUGGGGUGGCGAUUUAUCCGGGUUUGGGACUGUCCUGGUUUUAGUGUCUCUGGAAACUCAUCGGUCCUGGGCAAAUCGGGAUGUGGGUCACACUAGGGGUGACUUCCUAACACCUGAGAGAGAGAGAGAGAGAGAGAGGGAGAGAGA